rnacentral:tRNA from 2 species
AAGACUUUAAGUUAAAUAAACUAAAAACCUUCAAAGUUUUAAAUAGAAAUAUUCUAAGUCUUG